rnacentral:rRNA from 1 species
GUGGGGAAUAUUGGACAAUGGGCGAAAGCCUGAUCCAGCCAUGCCGCGUGUGUGAAGAAGGUCUUCGGAUUGUAAAGCACUUUAAGUUGGGAGGAAGGGCAUUAACCUAAUACGUUAGUGUUUUGACGUUACCAACAGAAUAAGCACCGGCUAACUUCGUGCCAGCAGCCGCGGUAAUACGAAGGGUGCAAGCGUUAAUCGGAAUUACUGGGCGUAAAGCGCGCGUAGGUGGUUCAGCAAGUUGGAGGUGAAAUCCCCGGGCUCAACCUGGGAACUGCCUCCAAAACUACUGAGCUAGAGUACGGUAGAGGGUAGUGGAAUUUCCUGUGUAGCGGUGAAAUGCGUAGAUAUAGGAAGGAACACCAGUGGCGAAGGCGACUACCUGGACUGAUACUGACACUGAGGUGCGAAAGCGUGGGGAGCAAACAGGAUUAGAAACCCCUGUAGUCC